ACACAGCAAAAACUGCUAACAAAUACGGGAAUUACGGGAUGAUCGUUAAUGUCACACACACGGUACAGGUCACGGACUUUCACGGGGGAGUGGUUUAACGGGAACCGUAGACAACCGUUGCCGUGGGGGAGGGGCUGGACGGGCAACCGUAUGAAGACCGUGCAGUCUGACCACAUUAGCUGACGGACAAUAAAGAGACACCGUAUAUCUAUAGAGUUUUGCUACUAUAUAAUUAUGUGCCCACUUCAUCAAUGGCUAUACUAAUAAAAAAAACAGGGUGUAAAUCUAGUUGAUCAAGACGAGAGUGGAUUAGAGCCACAACCAAAGAGGACCAGAUCUAGAGCUGCUAGAUCUAGUGUCCUGUGUCCUCACUUGCGAUCAGCACAUAUCCAAAUCUAGUUAUUACCGUAUUCAGAUACAGACCUGAGUGACCAUGACUUGCCUGGAUAGCUAUAUUCAACUGGAGUUGUACUGUCGACUUGUUAUAAUAAUAAUAAACUUGCACUGUUUUAUAAUAAAUUAUUAUUCUUACUGAUAGGAGGAGGAGGAGGAGGAGGAGCUCGUAAUUGCGCAUGCGUAGUAUGAAACCCACAUUUUAAGCGGGAUUUGGAGAAGCUGAGGACUUGGAUUUUAAGAUCAAGAGCCUUCACGUUGACGUUGAGCAUGAGAGAGCCGGUUCUCUAGCUUUAUGGAAGGGAAGCCUGUACGUAUCUGUUCAUGAACCAGCCAAAAAGUGUGUUAAGACAAAUGCUCAUGUGAUCAAUCAAUGACAAUCGCGUACUGGGCGUGGAAUCAAAAAUAUGAUGUGUCAUGACAGUGGACAUUACAGGCACCCAUUAACGUGUUGAAAACGACUCGUUGGACAAUCAUAAUUAUUAUGAUGAUUUAAUAAUAGAAUCUCAGUACAGUAAUGUUGCAGACGUAAACCAACGUCAGUUCUUAUGAUCGUUCUCAAGGCCUGGAAACUGCUAUUAAAUCAUAAAGGUAUCGAUGUCGAUCUCUCAGAUAUGUCGAUUCUGUUAAAUUACCGACCGGCUACCAUGAUCAUACAAGUCAUUGAAAGUGAACAUAAUGAUGGUAAAUAAUACAAGUCAACACUAGGUAGCCUUUAAGUCACUCAUUUUGUGUCCAGCUAGCUGUUGUCUUGUGUUUCUUGUCUUGUUUCUUUCUGGUGCAUGCUGUAUAUAUAAAUUAUAUUUUUGAUUGAACUUUGAA